ensembl:lncRNA
AAAUUCUCUUCCUUGGGAUAUUCAAGCUUUACUGGACAAGGAUACACAAUGGAGAUCUACAAAUCAGUUGCAUAUGUAGUUACAGUCUUGUCGUGUUCAAAUCCUCUGCAAAGGAAAGUGUCCAUCGUGCCAGAGAGAGCCAGUGAGUGACCUUACACAGAGCCUUAACUCUGAGCCUCUAAACACAGUUGCAUAAGAUAUUUUUUUCAUUCAUUAUUACAUAUGUUUUUUCAUAGAUUACUUAAAUGUAAAUUAACAGAAUGUGUUGGUAAGUGUAAAAUAGGAGUGAUAUGUAUUGUUUAUGUCAGCAGCAACGCAGGUUUCAAUGGACAGAUGGAAGGCAGCCAUCAUCUGCACUGGUGUGGAAAUGUGUCUUACAAGGUCUCAGGAAGUUCCUGCUGUAAUGGUAAUAUAACUCUGGGAUUAAGCCAGCUGGUGGCUGACUGCUGUGGUUCUGUAGCUUACAAUCCACUUAAUGAGAUUUGCUGUAAUGGCAGUAUUCUGACUCGAAGCAGCACUUACGCGAAAUGCUGUGGCAAAGACAUGUACUUGACAACGACUCAUGUGUGUUGUGGUAAAAACAACAUAUUUCAAUGGAAGGAAAAUCAUUCUUGUUGUGGCGAGAAAACAUAUGACGAGACAAUCCACUGCUGCUGUAGUAACCCUACACCAGUAGUAAAGCAUAAAAAUGAAACUUGCUGUCUAAAAGCAAAAGAUCAUGAUAAAAAAACAGAACACCAGCCAGGCUCUCCUCCAACUCGCCCUCUGCCCAUAUUAUCAGACUUGAUUUGUGGAUCAGAAACCUACAAUCCCCAUAAACAAAUGUGUUGCUCAGGGAAUCUGUAUAAGGCAUCAGCACUUACUAAGUGCUGUGGUGGAGAUGCUUACACUCUGUCAGAUGACAAUGUGCUGUGCUGUAAUGGAAUCCUUCAUCUCAAUGUGCCUGAGCAGUCUGAGUGUGUUGGAGGUGUUAUAUAUACUCCAGCAAACACUACUUGCCAAAUGUCGACCCGUCCUCGUCUUGGAGAGCACUGCUGUGGAGGACAAACCUUCAAUCCUCGCACGCAUAUUUGCUGUAAUGGUCACAGGUGAUGUAACUAAAGGAUUGGGCCAACUUGAGACUGACUGCUGUAAUUCUCGUGCCUACAAUCCUGUAAAUCAGAUUUGCUGAAAUGGGAGCAUUCAGAAUAGAAGCAGUACUCACACAAAAUGCUGUGGAGAAGGUAGACAAUCCACUUGAUGUGUCUUAAAAAUGAGUCUUGUCAAUGAAUCUUUUCAUGUUGCCUGUUGUGAUUGGUGUUUAUAGUUAUGAUUAAUUAAUUGCUAAUUAACUAAAUUUAGUAAAAAAAAAAAAGUGCCUACUGUACUUUCAUGUACCUACUGACAACUCAUAUUUGUUGUGGUGACAACAAAAUGUUUGAACUGAAGGAAAAUCUUUCUUGUUGUGUAAGUAAAUAAUUUAACAGGAUGAUACAGUACUAUUGCACCUGUAUGUGAAAGCUAAUAUAUUUUAAAAGUAUUAUACAAUUACAAAGACAAAUGUAUCAAACAGCUUUAAUAUUUCUUGUUUUGAUUGUUUCCGUAUAUGUGUGUUCCAGUUAGACAUGAAACUAUGCAGCAGGUAUAUUGUCAUAUGUAAAUGUACAUCAAACUAGUUAUUUCAAAAUAAAUAUUUAUGAGCAUGA